AUUUUAAUAUAAAAUACUAAUAUUAUCUUUAUAAUUAGAAUAUGAUCAAAAUGCAAUACUGAAUGACGUAACAGAAAUACAUCCAAGAUUAACAGACUAAAUUCCCAAAAUCUGGUGUCACAAGUGUAUGGGCAUCUACUAGAAUGUACAAUACUACUAUAAAAACUGCCUUGAAUAGAAAAUAGACAAAGUACAACAUAUGAUUAGGAAGGGGACUCCAUGUGCUGCGGAUCAUAGCAUAUACAACAGCUCACCAUAAAGUUUCAUCAGCAAUUGCGCCUACGCACCGGUAUGACCACCAAACUUACAUGUCUCAGUACCUAUACAAUUAGUGUUGAAGUGUAGUGUGAGUACGUAAAUCAACUUGUAGGUAAUAAGUAUCUAGCCUAACCUCAAAGAAGUAGCGAUGAGGGGUCGAUAUCGGCACUUACUAGUGGUCCAAUAAUCAAAUACAAUAAACACAGACAGGUAUGAAGAAUAGCCAGUAAAAGCAACGAAAAUAGGUAUAUGUGCAUAACACGAUCCUCAAUAGAAAAGUGGAUACAAAAUCCUCAAAUAUCGAAUACUACCUCGAAUGGGGCAAGUAUAUGAUCAAUAACAAAUAAAAUACCAAAUCGUAAGUCAGGAAGACUCAUAGGUACGUUGAACCUCGAUCGAAUAUAACACACGAUUCUGUCGAGGUCGUUUGGCUCGAUCCAUAAAAUAGUGUACACUGUCGAGGUCAUACGACCCAAUCCAUGGAUGCAUCUCAUAAUACUGACGAGGUCGUAUGACCCGAUCCAUAAUAGUAUUGAUGAGGCAUUCAGCCCGAUCCCAUAGAAUAGUGAGACUUUGACAUGUCACUUGCCCAACUCACGAAUAUGUGUGAGUUAUGAAAUUCCAGAAACUUUCAGAUAUAUAUUCACAAUGCGGGUGAAAUCUGUAAGAAAAGGUAAAAUAUCUGUGGCUAAUCAAGUAGCAAGUCAAGUAUCUGAAAUAGCAAAGUUCAAUACCUUACGCAAAUCUAGUCUCGGGUUAAAGCAUAAAUUAAAGUAUUUAAAUAGACAAGAAUAACUCAAGUAGUACAAUUAAAACAUGGUGUGAGUCUACGUCUACCCGGACAUAAUCAAGAAUCUAGCAUACACACGGACACUCAUCACCUCAUAAGUGCAUAGCUCCCAUAACAUGUUGCACAUAACAAAUACAACACCUGCAGGGUAAAUACCCUCUUACAAGGUUAGACAAGAGACUUACCUCGCUCUAAAGUCCGAUAACUGGCUCCAACGCCUCUCUAACACCUCUACCCGAUGCCAAACUAUCCGAAACUAGCCAAAAACGUGCAAACCAAUCAAAAUAUACUCAAAGACUCAUAAUUAAACAAUUAGAAAUAAAUUCCCAACUCCACACGAGAAGUCAACAAAGUCAACGCCGAGCUCAAGCGCCCGGAUUCCAAAAGUUAUCAAAA
rnacentral:lncRNA from 1 species